UUCCUCUGUAGUUCAGUCGGUAGAACGGCGGACGGUUAAUCCGUAUGUCACUGGUUCGGCUCCAGUCAGAUGAGCCAA
rnacentral:tRNA from 1 species